rnacentral:rRNA from 1 species
UACGGAGGAGCAAGCGUUAUCCGGAUUUACUGGGUGUAAAGGGAGCGUAGACGGUAUGCCAAGUCUGAUGUGAAAGGUGUGGGCUCAACCCGCAAACUGCAUUGGAAACUGGUAGACUAGAGUGUCGGAGAGGUAAGUGGAAUUCCUAGUGUAGCGGUGAAAUGCGUAGAUAUUAGGAGGAACAUCAGCGGCGAAGGCGGCUUACUGGACGAUAACUGACGUUGAGACUCGAAAGCGUGGGGAGCAAACA